UCUGUAUUUUUUUUCUGUUUUUCUCCGGUUUGAUUUCUUUCUCUGUAUUUUUAUACUGGGGGUCUCCGGUUUGCUCUUCGUUCCAAACUUUUGUUUAACUGGCGAUCUCCGGUUUGCUCUCUUCAACAUGUUUGAUUAAACAGGCGCCGGAGAGAUCGCCUGUUUAUCAAAAACAUGUCUUCUUGAUAAUAUUUUGAAGUCUUACCUGCUCACUGAUUAAUUUAAAGGGCCGCGGUAUUAUGACCGUGCAAAGGUAGCAUAAUCAUUAGUUUCUUAAUUGGGGACUGGAAUGAAUGGUUUGACGAGAAAUUGACUGUCUCUUAAUAAUUUUUAGAAUUUAACUUUUAAGUUAAAAGGCUUAAAUAUUUCUUGAGGACGAGAAGACCCUAUAGAGCUUUACAUUUAUAAAUUAAUUUUUAUUAUAUAGUUUAUUUUUUAAUGUUAAUUUUUAUUGUUUUGUUGAAGAGACAUGAAGAAUAAUUAAACUGACCAUUCCUUUAUCUUAAAAACAAGGUUUUGAGUUUAAAAAAGAGAUCCCCCUGUUUUCAAAAACCAGGGUUUGAGUUCAAACCGGAGGUCGCCUGUUUAUCAAAAACAAGGAUUUGAGUUCAAACCGGAGGUCGCCUGUUUAUCAAAAACAGGAUCUGAGUCAAACCGAGANNNNCNUANNA
rnacentral:rRNA from 1 species